rnacentral:rRNA from 1 species
GACGAACGCUGGCGGCGUGCUUAACACAUGCAAGUCGAACGAUGAACCGGGUGCUUGCACUCGGGGAUUAGUGGCGAACGGGUGAGUAACACGUGAGCAACCUGCCCCUGACUCCGGGAUAAGCGCUGGAAACGGCGUCUAAUACUGGAUAUGUCCCGUCACCGACUGGUGUGCGGGUGGAAAGAUUUUUCGGUUGGGGAUGGGCCAGCGGCCUAUCAGCUUGUUGGUGAGGUAAUGGCUCACCAAGGCGUCGACGGGUAGCCGGCCUGAGAGGAUGACCGGCCACAAUGGGAGUGGGAUGCAGCCCAGACUCCUACGGGAGGGAGCAGGGGUGAAUAUUGCACAAUGGGCGCAAGCCUGAUGCAGCGACGCGGCGUGAGGGAUGACGGCCUUCGGGUUGUAAACCUCUUUCAGCACCGACGAAGCGCAAGUGACGGUAGGUGCAGAAGAAGGACCGGCCAACUACGUGCCAGCAGCCGCGGUAA